GUCUACGACCAUGUUAUCCUGAACGUGCCUGAUCUCGUCUGAUCUUAGAAGUUAAGCAAGGUCGGGUCUGAUUAGUACUUGGAUGGGAGACCACCUAGGAAUACCAGGUGCUGUAGGCG
rnacentral:rRNA from 1 species